rnacentral:rRNA from 1 species
GACGAACGCUGGCGGCGUGCUUAACACAUGCAAGUCGAACGGAAAGGCCCUGCUUUUGUGGGGUGCUCGAGUGGCGAACGGGUGAGUAACACGUGAGUAACCUGCCCUUGUCUUUGGGAUAACUUCAGGAAACUGGGGCUAAUACCGGAUAGGAGCUCCUGCUGCAUGUUGGGGGUUGGAAAGUUUCGGCGGUUGGGGAUGGACUCGCGGCUUAUCAGCUUGUUGGUGGGGUAGUGGCUUACCAAGGCUUUGACGGGUAGCCGGCGUGAGAGGGUGACCGGCCACAUUGCGCCUGAGAUACGGCCCAGACGCGUACGGGAGGCAGCAGUGGGGAGUAUUGCACAAUGGGCGGAAGCCUGAUGCAGCAACGCCGCGUGCGGGAUGACGGCCUUCGGGUUGUAAACCGCUUUCGCCUGUGACGAAGCGUGAGUGACGGUAAUGGGUAAAGAAGCACCGGCUAACUACGUG